rnacentral:rRNA from 1 species
GAUGAACGCUGGCGGCGUGCUUAACACAUGCAAGUCGAACGAACCUUCGGGUUAGUGGCGGACGGGUGAGUAACGCGUGAGAAUCUGCCCUCAGGAGGGGGAUAACGGUUGGAAACGACCGCUAAUACCCCCAUAUGCCGCGAGGUGAAAUGAAUUUCGCCUGAGGAUGAGCUCGCGUCUGAUUAGCUAGUUGGUGGGGUAAGAGCCUACCAAGGCUUCGAUCAGUAGCUGGUCUGAGAGGAUGAUCAGCCACACUGGGACUGAGACACGGCCCAGACUCCUACGGGAGGCAGCAGUGGGGAAUUUUCCGCAAUGGGCGAAAGCCUGACGGAGCAACGCCGCGUGAGGGAUGAAGGCCUCUGGGCUGUAAACCUCUUUUAUCAAGGAAGAAGAUCUGACGGUACUUGAUGAAUAAGCCACGGCUAAUUCCGUGCCAGCAGCCGCGGUAAAGUAGUCGUG